rnacentral:rRNA from 1 species
UACGUAGGUGGCAAGCGUUGUCCGGAUUUAUUGGGUUUAAAGGGUGCGUAGGCGGCUUUGUAAGUCAGUGGUGAAAUAUGGCAGCUCAACUGUCAGGGUGCCAUUGAUACUGCAGAGCUUGAGUACAGAUGAGGUAGGCGGAAUUGACGGUGUAGCGGUGAAAUGCUUAGAUAUCGUCAAGAACACCGAUAGCGAAGGCAGCUUACUGGGCUGUAACUGACGCUGAGGCACGAAAGCGUGGGGAUCAAACAGG